GAAUUUUGGACAAUGGGGGCAACCCUGAUCCAGCCAUCCCGCGUGUGCGAUGAAGGCCUUAGGGUUGUAAAGCACUUUUGGCAGGGACGAAAAGGCGCUGGCUAAUACCUGGAACUGCUGACGGUACCUGCAGAAUAAGCCCCGGCUAACUACGUUCCCGCAGCCGCGGUAAUACGUAGGGUGCAAGCGUUAAUCGGAAUUACUGGGCGUAAAGCGUGCGCAGGCGGUUCGGCAAGAAGGAUGUUAAAUCCCAGGGCUUAACCUUGGAACUGCAUUCUUAACUGCCGGGCUAGAGUAUGUCAGAGGGGGGUAGAAUGCCGCGUGUAGCAGUGAAAUGCGUAGAGAUGCGGAGGAAUACCGAUGGCGAAGGCAGCCCCCUGGGAUAAUACUGACGCUCAUGCACGAAAGCGUGGGGAGCAAAC
rnacentral:rRNA from 1 species